rnacentral:lncRNA from 1 species
CCCCACUUGCACUAUCAUUUCCUAUGUUCAGUUGACCAUGAAAUUGGGGUAAAAAACUCUAAUUUGGCAUUAAAAUUAGAAAGAUCAUACCAUAGGGAACAUGUGUACUAAGUUUCAAGUUCAUUGGACUUAACUUCUUCAAAAACUACCUUGACCAAAAACUUUAACCUGAAGUGGGACAAACGAACGGACGGACGAACAGACCCACAGACCAGAAAACAUAAUGCCCCUCUACUAUGGUAGGUGGGGCAUAAAAAAUGCCCCUCUACUAUGGUAGGUGGGGCAUAAAAAAUGCUGUCUGCUAUUGUAGGCAGGCCAUAAAAUAUGAACAAGCAGUGAAGCUUGUGUAUUGGGAAUGAUUUAGCAAGGUAAUUGAAGAUUUACUAAGAAAUCUUAAUAUUUAAAAUUAAAAUUCAGCAUUUUAUUUCAAAUGAGAAUUCUGAAGAGCCAGUCUUAACAGAUUUUUUGCAAACAAUUCUAGAGGACAUUUUCUUAUCAAAGCUUCGUCCUAUAAAGCAGAUUUCACUCUUAUCAAGGAUCUAAUUUCUAUUUACCAAAUUCCAAGGCUGAAUCAACUGAAGGUGGUGUUACUUGACAAAGCAAAUUUAGCAGAUACUGUAGUCAGGUAUUGUCAAAUUUAAUGUUUAUUAACCCUCAUUCAGUCUGGCUGAUUUUUCAUGUCAAAUAAAAAGUUAACAACAUAAAAAAAAAAAUGCUGGUUCCAGAUUUGUUCAUAUGAAUAAGUUUCUAAUUAAUGCUGAUUUCAUAUUUAGAGAGGGAAAAAAGGGGGGUAAGUCUUUAUGAAAAUAACUAUUGAAAAAUUUUGUGUGUCGAAAGCACUUUGUGGAUCCUCAUACAUUUAUAAGGAAUUCUCAACUCCCCAUCCCUCCCAAAGAAUAAGCCAUGAAUUUAUGGAUACCACAGAUGUCAGUAGAUAUAUAACUAAAAGGGACAUAAAAGUUACAAGGACAAUAUGCUACUUGCUAAAUUGUCUACAUUUAAAGCUAUCUGUUUCCCACCAUCUAUAAAAAGAAUAUGCAGCAAGAGAUCAAAUGAAGCAUUGUUGGUUUUUAUUGGUGGUUCAGGGGAACAGGAUUGAGAAAAAGACACAAGGGGUACCAUACUGUAUUUGCAUUAACCAGAUGACUGUACCACUUCAAUGUUUCUAAUAGUGCAAAUGUAUGUACUCAUUCUUUUAAUAGUAACAUAACUCUAUUAAAAAAAUGUUCUAAAAGAAAGAAAAUUAUAGUUAGCAAUCUCAACACAUUUUUCCAAAUUAAAUUUAAC